GAUAAACGCUGGCGGCGCACAUAAGACAUGCAAGUCGAACGGAAGCCGUGCAAGAGACAAUUGAAGAUUUAUCUGAUUGAGUCUCAUGCACAAUGACUUUAGUGGCGGACUGGUGAGUAACACGUAAGCAAUCUGCCUAUCAGAGGGGAAUAACAGUGAGAAAUCAUUGCUAAUACCGCAUAUGCUCACAGCAUCGCAUGAUGCAGUGAGGAAAGGAGCAAUCCGCUGAUAGAUGAGCUUGCGUCUGAUUAGCUAGAUGGUGGGGUAACGGCCUACCAUGGCGACGAUCAGUAGCCGGACUGAGAGGUUGAACGGCCACAUUGGGACUGAGAUACGGCCCAGACUCC
rnacentral:rRNA from 1 species